rnacentral:rRNA from 1 species
CGGAGGUGCAAGCGUUAAUCGGAAUUACUGGGCGUAAAGCGCACGCAGGCGGUUGUUAAGUCAGAUGUGAAAUCCCCGGGCUCAACCUGGGAACUGCAUCUGAUACUGGCAAGCUUGAGUCUCGUAGAGGGGUAGAAUUCCAGGUGUAGCGGUGAAAUGCGUAGAGAUCUGGAGGAAUACCGGUGGCGAAGGCGGCCCCCUGGACGAAGACUGACGCUCAGGUGCGAAAGCGUGGGAGCAAACAGGAUU